AUGGAAAAAUACAGACCACUGCUCUGUAUCUUAUUUGCAGCUUUCUCUUUUGGAUGUAUUAGGACCUCUGCUCAGAAUACUACAGAAAAUUUGAGCACUACACUUGCAGCAACAGCAUUACCUGUUUCUAAUGGCAUUGUUUCAACUUCAGCCAAAAACUUGGCAUUUAAUGUGACCCAAAGCGUGACGACAAGUUUAACUAAAGGUAUGGCAGUGGGUACAAACCAGACCAUGGCAGCAGGUACAAACCAGAGUGUGACAAUGUCUUCAACCCAGAGUGUGUCCGUAAGAACAACCCAUAAUGUGACAGCAGUUACAACCCAGAGCCUAGCAGCUGGUACAACACAGACCAUGACAAUGUCAGCAACCAAGAGCAUGUUAGCAGGUACAACCAAGAGCACAACAAUGGCUGCAACCCAAAGCGUGGCAGCAGAUACAAGACAUACCGUAACAAUGGCUGCAAGUCUAGCUCCAACUCAAACCAUGGCAUCAGGAACAAACCAAACCGUUACGAUGGCUGCAACCCAGAGCCAAGCAACAGGCCCAACUCAAACCAUGGCACCAGGAACAAACCACACUGUAACAAUGGCUGCAACCCAGAGCCUAGCAACAGGCCCAACUCAAACCAUGGCACCAGGAACAAACCACACCGUUACGAUGGCUGCAACUCAGAGCGCAGCAACAGGCCCAACUCAAACCAUGGCACCAGGAACAAACCACACCGUAACGAUGGCUGCAACUCAGAGCGCAGCAACUGGCCCAACUCAAACCAUGGCACCAGGAAUAAACUACACUGUUUCAAUGGCUACAACCCAGAGCCUAGCAACAGGCCCAACUCAAACCAUGGCACCAGGAACAAACCACACCGUUACGAUGGCUGCAACUCAGAGCGCAGCAACUGGCCCAACUCAAACCAUGGCACCAGGAAUAAACUACACUGUUUCAAUGGCUACAACCCAGAGCCUACCACCAGUUCCCACACAGAGCAGCAUAUUGAGUUCAACUCAGACUGUGGCAGCAGGUGUAACACAGGCUGUAUUGGCAGGGAACAAUUCAACAUCUCAGCCUUCCACAACAACAGCUCUCCCCAUUUCACCAAACAUCACUGUAGAAACUCUCCCAGUAAGUGACUUCAAUUUACGGGUGUCAUUUGGACUUAUAACUCAAGGCAGAAUGACACCUUUUUCAAUUAUUUAA
rnacentral:lncRNA from 1 species